rnacentral:tRNA from 1 species
GGGUCCAUAUCUCAGUGGUAGAGCAAUUGACUGCAGAUCAAUAGGUCACCGGUUCGAACCGGGUUGGGCCCU